rnacentral:lncRNA from 1 species
GGCGACGCGGCCCUGAGCGCCCUGGUCCUCCGCCCGCAGCUCGCCCGGCCGAUCCGCUACGGGCACCCGGAUUCCGAAAGGAAAGACGCGGGCCGACUUGAGUUUCUGAGUAAGAGGCCUGGACCGCCGGGGCUCAAUCCCUCCUCGAGGGUGGGCUCGGAGGCGGGGGCGAACCCCGAGCGCUGGCAACGCUCAAGUGCACCGCGGAUCCAGGCUCACCCAGCCUCACACCCACUCCGGGGAGGAGGAAGAUGAGCCAGGAGGUCGGGAGCCUUGCCGGUCCCCGGAAGAUGCGCACGCUCCUUGGCCCUGGAGCGGGACACUCAGGGGGCGCCGACUGAGCGUAAAAAGUUGGGGCGCCGGUGCCCAGGAGACAGCGGGAUCUCCCGGGCCUGGAAGUGUCCCAGGCAGGCGGCAGGCACGGCGUCGGUUGCAGGCAAAGGGCCUGGUAGGCCCUUGCUUGGAAAGUUUCAAAAACCUCGGCAGUGACCGCAGCUAAGACUGAGUGGAAAGGUUCCUGCUGGCGCUUGUGCUCUAAGUGGCAGAAGGAGGCGGAGCGUCUCGAACCUGCAGCCCUGGCGUCUGCCCGACUUGGCCUUCGGGGCACGACAAGCCGAUGGCGCCUGGGGGCGAGCGGGUCGCUGGGGCGCGGAGCCGUGAAGGGGGUAGAGGGGGGCGGGUGGGAGGAGGAGCGGGGGCGCCUCGAGUCCCAGGGAGCAGCCCCUACACCUGCCUUCCCGGCCGUGGCGUCCCGGCGCCGGGAGGGCCGCCUGCCGAGGUUGCAGUAAGCAGCGAGCCCUGCUCCCUGCCCAGAUCCGGGCGCCAACAGGUGAGUGAGCCUCGCCAAGUGCCAGCCGAAAGAGGAGUGCAGCGGAGCCAAGUGUCCGCCGCGGGACACAACGCGCCAGGGCCGAGGCUGAGCUCUCCACCCGGCUUGAACUUGAGGCUCGCACACCAGCCUCACCACCGCACACAGCGGGGUUUCCUAGACGGGCUCCUUCCGGUUCCCGGACGCCCCAGCCCGGCUCGGGCUUGGCCACAGCCCUUGGUCAGCUCGGCAGGCUGCCUGCAAGGCGUAAGUUGGCAGUAA